rnacentral:rRNA from 1 species
GACGAACCGUGCAAACGUUGUUCGGAAUCACUGGGCUUAAAGGGCGCGUAGGCGGGCAAGCAAGUCGAAGGUGAAAUCCCACGGCUCAACCGUGGAAGUGCCCCCGAUACUGCUUGUCUUGAGGGAGAUAGGGGCGUGCGGAACUUCCGGUGGAGCGGUGAAAUGCGUAGAUAUCGGAAGGAACACCAGUGGCGAAGGCGGCUCACUGGACCGGAACUGACGCUGAGGCGCGAAAGCGUGGGGAGCAAACAGG